rnacentral:tRNA from 1 species
GGGAAGGUGGUUCAGUGGUAGAGUGCUUGCCUUGCAUGCAUGAGGCCCUGGGUUCGAUUCCUCAGCUCUA